GCAGGGUGUCUCUGCGCGGUGCGCGGUGGUADCUGGGGUKCCAUCGGGGUCCAUGGRMGCUCUAUCCSWMGCCUGGGGAAGUGGGUUCGGCCUCCSGUUGGUCGCCARUGGUUAGUAGUGGUGAGUACGCUYACCAAGCGACGUCUCUAGCUGGUCUGAGAGGAUGACCAGCCACACUGGAACUGAGACACGGUCCAGACUCCUACGGGAGGCAGCAGUGGGGAAUAUUKCACAAUGGGGGAAMCCCUWAUGCAGCCAUCCCGCGUGUGUGAAGAAGGCCUUCGGGUUGUAAAGCACUUUCAGUCAGGAGGAAAGGUGCYUAGCUAAUACCUAGUUCCUGUGACGUUACUUACAGAGGAGCACCUCUAACUCCGUGCCA
rnacentral:rRNA from 1 species